ensembl:lncRNA
AGCAGCUUGGCAGCUUCUCUACAUGGACUCAAGAAAUAUAUUCUGGAUUAUCUGUACCAUCUGCCUCUCACAGGUGUUCAUCUGGAAGCAGGGGGGAGGAGAAGGGCACCUGAGGGCACCAGAAUUGAACGGAAAGUAUUUUAUGGGGCACAAUGCAUUGUGGCAGCUGGUGCUGAUGGAGGAGGAAGGAGGAGGCUGAAUGGAUACUAACUAAUUCUUAACCUGGGAAGAUUGAGAAAGUUUCCUGCAGUUUCACUGAAGCUGAGCUGAAGCUGACUUGGUCUGCUGGGGGAAGUCAGGAUGGGGGAGUGUCAGGUGAAAGUGAUCAACCACCGGAACACAUGACCAAAGGAAGAGGUCAUUCUCCAUCUCAUGACAUCUCCAAAUCAGGCUGUGCCUUAGCUCAAUGCAAAUUACUGGCCUCAUUACAGACGCAACUGCACAGAAUUUAAUGGCCUGUGAUGCACAGGAGGCUAUACCAGAUGAUCUAAUGAUCGCUUUUCACCUUAACCUCCGCGCAUCAGUGAAUAAAAGGAAUGAAUUCUGGUACUGCAGAAAGGUAUUGCAAAUUGGGAAAGGAUGAACUGGCGCUUUUGGCAUCCGAAGAGGAGUGAAGGAUGCUUCUAACAACUGGGAGCUUGUUCAGACUCUAGUAAUAACAUUAAAGAGCAAUAAAUGGAUUCAUUUUUGUAGCGAUUCCCAUUGCUAAAUUCUUUCCUACCAGCAGCCUUGGAAAACAAAAUUUCUUUAUUUCCUUCUGUGUAAAUUUAUGCUUUCAAGACACUCAUUAAAGUAAAUGAAUGCCUUCAUUUGCUAGCAAAUGAAGCAAAUCAUGUGGAGGUCCCUAUUAUUAUCUGUGGAAUAUAGUUAAUACUAAGCUCAGUUCAAAGUCCACUGAAAUUAGGAGGAGUCUCCACAGACUUUCUGCAGUGGAAGUUUGAUCUGGUUCAGUGACAUUUGGGCAGUCAUUAUGCAGUUUUCUUGUAUCUAGACACAGCAAUUAGAAUAGACAUCAGC